UACGAGGGGUGCAAGCGUUGCUCGGAAUUAUUGGGCGUAAAGGGUAGGUAGGUGGUCUCGUUUGUCUGAGGUGAAAUCCUUGAGCUUAACUCAAGAAGUGCCUUAGAAACGGCGAGACUAGGGUACUGGAGAGGGUCGUGGAAUUCCCGGUGUAGCGGUGAAAUGCGUAGAGAUCGGGAGGAACACCAGAGGCGAAAGCGGCGACCUGGACAGUGACUGACACUCAACUACGAAAGCGUGGGGAGCAAACAGG
rnacentral:rRNA from 1 species